rnacentral:rRNA from 1 species
CCUACGGGAGGCAGCAGUAGGGAAUAUUCGACAAUGAGGGAAACCCUGAUGGAGCGACACCGCGUGCAUGAAGAAGUAUUUCGGUAUGUAAAGCUCUGUCAGCAGGGAAGAAAAUUACGAUACCUGACUGAUAAGCCCCGGCUGACUCCGUGCCAGCAACCGGUGUCAUACGUAGGGGGCACACGUUCUCCGGUUUUACUGGGGGGAAAGGUAGCGUAAACGUUGCAGCAAGGUCGAUGUGAAAGGUCGGGGACCAACCCCGGGAAUGCAUUGGAUAUUGUCGAACUGGAGUACAGGAGAGGUAAGCGGAAUUCCGAGUGUAGCGGUGAAAUGCGUAGAUAUUAGGAGGAACACCAGUGGCGAAGGCGGCUUACUGGAUUGUAACUGACGUUGAGGGUCGAAAGCGUGGGGAGCAAACAGGAUUAGAUACCCUAGUAGUC